rnacentral:lncRNA from 1 species
CAAACCGCAUUGCAUUAAAUCAAAUGUUUUGAGAAUACAAAGUAAGAGCUUUUUUAGCAACAGUAUCAGCUACAACAUUAGAAGAUCUAGGAACAAAACAGCAGGAGAAAUUGUCGAGGCGCCUGGUACACUCAAAAAAAUCCAACAGAAUACCAUGAAUCUCCACGAGAAGAGACUUAGAUAGGAUUGCUUUAACGAGAAUUUGACAAUCCGAGAAGAGCUGAAUAUCCUGGUAGCCCAAAGACACCGCAGACAGAAGAGCCGUGCGCACAGCCAAAGAUUCCGCAGCUAGCGGAGAAGAAACAUGCUCACAAAGAGCAGAGUUCUUUUUGAAAGGACAUCCUGGAGGAGAGAGAGUCUAUCCCAAGCCCGAAGCCUUAGUAGAACUAUCCCACGAAGAAACAAAAUAAUUGAUGUUUUGCCUUCA